rnacentral:antisense_RNA from 1 species
AGUGCGACCCGGAACAAGGCGGACACGGCAGGAGCACCUCAUUCUUCCCCCUAGUCUUCUCCUAGCCUGCCCGUGGGAUCAGCUCCCACAUUGCUGAAUGGAGUCGCUCAUUUCGGCAGCGAAUGCUGAGGUGACAAAUGGCUUCUGUACAUUUGCGAAAAGGAGGGGAGGCAGGAAUUGUUUGACCUCCAGCAGAUACCUUGGGCGAGGAGGACAAGUGCCCUACCCAAGAGAUGACAGAUUGUGGAACUAAAAGGAUCCUGGGUCUCUAAUGAUUUUUUGGAGUUAUUGUGCCUGCCUUGGACUUCCAACUGCCAAACUUUUAUGAAGCACUUCUCCUUCCUGCUACCAUGUGAAGAAGGAUGUGUUUGCUUCCCCUUCUGCUAUGAUUGUAAGCCUCCUGAGGCCUCCCCAGCCCUGCAGAACUAAAUCCAAAGAAGCCACUAUGCUGAAAAUACUUUGAGUGGGUUAGAGUUUCGCUCAAGGAAGUGCUGUAGUAGAAAAUGGCCAUUUCUCUGUGCUGUGUUCAGAGUAAGAGAUAUGGGUGAAAGAGUUAUCCGGAAUGGAAUGCUGAGGAGACCCUAAAGGGAAUUUCAGGGUGGGUGACCAGCACUGUCACUCGAUGAGUGGAGGAUUGGAGGUUGCUGUGAGGUUCCUUUAAGGGGUGAUGUUUGAUCUGAGAGCUGGUAAAUGAACAGGAGUUAAUUUAAAGACAAACUUGCCAAAUACUGCAAGAAAAGAUGUUGCUGAUCACGGAUAGGAAAUACUCCAAGUCCCAGGAGAUAGUCUGUUCUUAGGAGACUUCCACACCAAGUCCGCUGAC